rnacentral:rRNA from 1 species
CACACAGUAAACGAUGAAUACUCGCUGUUUGCGAUAUAAUGCAAGCGGCCAAGCGAAAGCAUUAAGUAUUCCACCUGGGGAGUACGCCGGCAACGGUGAAACUCAAAGGAAUUGACGGGG